rnacentral:rRNA from 1 species
GACGAACGCUGGCGGCGUGCUUAACACAUGCAAGUCGAACGGAAAGGCCCCUUUGGGGGUACUCGAGUGGCGAACGGGUGAGUAACACGUGAGUAACCUGCCCUUGACUUCGGGAUAACUUCAGGAAACUGGGGCUAAUACCGGAUAGGAAUCCUUGCUGCAUGGUGGGGGUUGGAAAGCUUCGGCGGUUUUGGAUGGACUCGCGGCUUAUCAGCUUGUUGGUGGGGUAGUGGCUUACCAAGGCUUUGACGGGUAGCCGGCCUGAGAGGGCGACCGGCCACAUUGGGACUGAGAUACGGCCCAGACUCCUACGGGAGGCAGCAGUGGGGAAUAUUGCACAAUGGGCGGAAGCCUGAUGCAGCAACGCCACGUGCGGGAUGACGGCCUUCGGGUUGUAAACCGCUUUCAGCAGGGGCGAAGCUUGUGGUGACGGUACCUGCAGAAGAAGCACCGGCUAACUACGUG